rnacentral:rRNA from 1 species
ACUUCAGGACGGGGACAACAGUUGGAAACGACUGCUAAUACCCGAUGUGCCGAAAGGUGAAACCUAAUUGGCCUGGAGAAGAGCUUGCGUCUGAUUAGCUAGUUGGUGGGGUAAAGGCCUACCAAGGCGACGAUCAGUAGCUGGUCUGAGAGGAUGAGCAGCCACACUGGGACUGAGACACGGCCCAGACUCCUACGGGAGGCAGCAGUGGGGAAUUUUCCGCAAUGGGCGAAAGCCUGACGGAGCAACGCCGCGUGAGGGAGGAAGGUCUUUGGAUUGUAAACCUCUUUUCUCAAGGAAGAAGUUCUGACGGUACUUGAGGAAUCAGCCUCGGCUAACUCCGUGCCAGCAGCCGCGGUAAUACGGGGGAGGCAAGCGUUAUCCGGAAUUAUUGGGCGUAAAGCGUCCGCAGGUGGUCACCAAGUCUGCCGUCAAAUCAGGUUGCUUAACGACCUA